UACGUAGGGACCGAGCGUUGUCCGGAAUCAUUGGGCGUAAAGAGCGUGUAGGCGGCCUUUUAAGUCCUGCGUGAAAUCCUGCGGCUCAACCGCAGACGGUCGUGGGAAACUGGAAGGCUAGAGUGCGGGAGAGGAGAGUGGAAUUCCCGGUGUAGCGGUGAAAUGCGCAGAUAUCAGGAGGAACACCAGUGGCGAAGGCGGUGCUCUGGGCCGGAACUGACGCUGAGGAGCGAAAGCGUGGGGAGCGAACAGG
rnacentral:rRNA from 1 species